GCCUCUGUAGCUCAGUCGGUAGAGCAGGGGACUGAAAAUCCCCGUGUCGGUGGUUCGAUUACGCCCGGAGGCACCA
rnacentral:tRNA from 1 species